rnacentral:lncRNA from 1 species
AUGUGCUCCAUGAGAUCAUCAUCUUUAUUUUCAAGCACACAGCAGCACCUAUUUUGUAGGAAGUGCUUGACAACCAACAGCCGGACACAGGAAAAAAGCCUGAGCAGCCCCUUGGUUCCAGAAGUCGCCUGGACUUCCCUGAAGAGACUUCUGCCCCAUCCUGGUCCCCCUUGCUGCCCAAACCCUGUGUGUUUUCUGCUACCUGGAAAACACAGGGUCGCUACCCAGGGAUGGAACUCACGACUGCCUGCUUGCAAGGUAGGCGCUUAUGCCGCUGAGCUAAAUCCCCAGCCCCUUGCUUAUGUCAUUUGUGUUUGACAGAUUACAGAGCUUGCAUGGUGCCUGGUACCCAACUGGUGUUCAGCAAGAUGCCCCAGAGAAGGAAAAGGCUACAGACAUACUGCUGCUUUACUCCACGCCCUGCUGUCCCACUGUACCCCUGUGAUUAUUGUAUCUAGGUGUCCCCUCGAAGCCUCCCAUGAUCAUAGGUGAGACUUUUCAGAGGUGGCUGGAUCUAAAGUGUGUGAUACCAGGAUGAAGUGUGUGACACUGGCAUUGAGGGUGAUUAUUAAAGUAGUCCACUGAUUGGUUGGCAUAGUCCUGGGUGCAGAUGAUGGGAAGGCCACUCUGGAUGUGAGUGCUAUCUGCCUUAAGAGCGUGUAGCCUGGAUAGAAUAUAAGGGACAGAAAGAGGGUGGUGCUCGCUGCUUGCUGCUUCAGUGCUGGCUGCCUUCUGCCUGCUCUGCUUUGCCAUGAACUGUUUCUCCUCUGUGAUGUCCCUCUGCCAUGCCAGCCUGCCUUGGAGCCAACUGACUGUGGACUGAAACUUCUACAAACUGUGAGCCAAAAUAAACUUUCC